AAUUUCAUUCUUUGAAUUUCAGUGGUAAAUAGAAAUAUUCUAUGAAAUGCAAACCAGUUCAAGACAUGCUGGGAAAGCAUGGAUAGAAUUGCAGAUAUAAAUACAAGCACAGAUAAUUUUUACUGUUUUUUUGAAAAGUGUGGAUAAGAUAGGGUGGUUAUGAUAAAUAAGCAUAUUUUUACUUUGUAUGACAUGAAAAAAUAAUCAAGAUGGGUGCAUAUGCUCUGCCACAGUUUGCAUAAACAUUUUUAAGUAUCAAAUAGGUUCAAGAAGAUAGAAAAUAAACCAAUUAAAGGGCAAAGAUAACAGAAAGGCAUACUGAGGUACAAAGUGAAUAUUUUUCCUUUUUAACAAAAAUCGGCAUACACAUGAAUAAUUUAUCUAUUGACAUUUGCCACAAGACACAUCAUCACCCUAAUUUUUAUAUUCCUUGAUGCCUAAAACUAUUUUUUUUGGGUUUGAUAUUGGGAACUGAAAAUGUGACUAUAAAUUUACUUGAUAAUACCAAAAAUUAUGUCCACUAGGAGAUCCUUUGUAUAUCCUAAUUGCAUCUAACCAUAUCCCUGUGUUUACUAUUCACCGAGACAUAUGGAUUGUAUUUGUUAAAUUUGGGUAAGGUCUAACUCAUUCCAAGCUAACUCAAGGGGAGGAGUAGUGCCUAUGGCUCAUAAAACCGACGUGGGAUUUAACAUACCUCUCACCCCUAGAAUUGAGAGGCUCAAUAUGAGUAGGAGGCUCUCAUAUCAUAUUAAAUCUGAGUCAGGCCUAACUCACUCUAAAAACUAGCCAGCUCAAAAGAGAGGAGUGUAUAUGCAGGAGGCACAUUUCCCCUUUCUCACUAUGUGGGAUUCAACGGUAUUAAAUGUGGUACUUCUAUGCGCUAUAUGCCAAAAAAGAUGUGCAAGCAGACUUUUAGAGUUGAAAUAUUGAUGCUUCCUAGUAACAAAUGUUUCAUUUAGUUCAAGGGGGG
rnacentral:lncRNA from 1 species